GGUAGGUACUGUUAGAUUAAUUUUGUGGGACAUUAACAGCAGCAUCAGUAGCAACAUCAGCUUUAGUUAAUGAAUCCUGGAGAGUUAAGUGACUUUACUUCC
rnacentral:pre_miRNA from 1 species